rnacentral:rRNA from 1 species
GAUGAACGCUGGCGGCGUGCUUAACACAUGCCAGUCGAACGGAAAGGCUCCUGCUUGCAGGGGUACUCGAGUGGCGAACGGGUGAGUAACACGUGGGUGAUCUGCCCUGCACUUCGGGAUAAGCCUGGGAAACUGGGUCUAAUACCGGAUAGGACGAUGGUUUGGAUGCCAUUGUGGAAAGUUUUUCGGUGUGGGAUGAGCUCGCGGCCUAUCAGCUUGUUGGUGGGGUAAUGGCCUACCAAGGCGUCGACGGGUAGCCGGCCUGAGAGGGUGUACGGCCACAUUGGGACUGAGAUACGGCCCAGACUCCUACGGGAGGCAGCAGUGGGGAAUAUUGCACAAUGGGCGCAAGCCUGAUGCAGCGACGCCGCGUGGGGGAUGACGGCCUCCGGGUUGUAAACUCCUUUCGCUAGGGACGAAGCGCAAGUGACGGUACCUGGAGAAGAAGCACCGGCUAACUACGUG